ACGGCUCAGUAACACGUGGAUAACCUGCCCUUGGGUCCGGCAUAACCCCGGGAAACUGGGGAUAAUUCCGGAUAACGCACAUAUGCUGGAAUGCUUUAUGCGUAAAAUGGAUUCGUCUGCCCAAGGAUGGGUCUGCGGCCUAUCAGGUAGUAGUGGGUGUAAUGUACCUACUAGCCAACAACGGGUACGGGUUGUGAGAGCAAGAGCCCGGAGAUGGAUUCUGAGACAUGAAUCCAGGCCCUACGGGGCGCAGCAGGCGCGAAAACUUUACAAUGCGGGAAACCGUGAUAAGGGGACACCGAGUGCCAGCAUCAUAUGCUGGCUGUCCAGGUGUGUAAAAUACACCUGUCAGCAAGGGCCGGGCAAGACCGGUGCCAGCCGCCGCGGUAACACCGGCGGCCCGAGUGGUGAUCGUGAUUAUUGGGUCUAAAGGGUCCGUAGCCGGUUUGGUCAGUCCUCCGGGAAAUCUGACGGCUCAACCGUUAGGCUUUCGGGGGAUACUGCCAGGCUUGGAACCGGGAGAGGUAAGAGGUACUACAGGGGUAGGAGUGAAAUCUUGUAAUCCCUGUGAGACCACCUGUGGCGAAGGCGUCUUACCAGAACGGGUUCGACGGUGAGGGACGAAAGCUGGGGGCACGAACCGGAUUAGAUACCCGGGUAGUCCCAGCCGUAAACGAUGCUCGCUAGGUGUCAGGCAUGGCGCGACCGUGUCUGGUGCCGCAGGGAAGCCGUGAAGCGAGCCACCUGGGAAGUACGGCCGCAAGGCUGAAACUUAAAGGAAUUGGCGGGGGAGCACAAU
rnacentral:rRNA from 1 species